rnacentral:rRNA from 1 species
UGAGCAAUCUGUCCUUCACAUCGGGAUAACCAUUGGAAACGAUGGCUAAUACCGAAUAUGACUUCGGAUCGCAUGAUCUGAAGUGGAAAGCUCCGGCGGUGAAGGAUGAGCUCGCGGCCUAUCAGCUAGUUGGUGUGGGUAAUGGCCCACCAAGGCGACGACGGGUAGCCGGCCUGAGAGGGUGACCGACCACACUGGGACUGAGACACGGCCCAGAUCCUACGGG